rnacentral:rRNA from 1 species
CACGUAGGCGGACUCUUAAGUCGGGGGUGAAAUCCUGGAGCUCAACUCCAGAACUGCCUUCGAUACUGAGAGUCUUCGAGUUCGGGAGAGGUGAGUGGAACUGCGAGUGUAGAGGUGAAAUUCGUAGAUAUUCGCAAGAACACCAGUGGCGAAGGCGGCUCACUGGCCCGAUACUGACGCUGAGGUGCGAAAGCGUGGGGAGCAAACA